rnacentral:tRNA from 1 species
CGUAGCUCAGUAGGAUAGAGCGAUAGCCUCCUAAGCUAUAGGUCACUGGUUCGAUUCCAGCCG